CCGGUGGCGAAAGCGGCUNUCUGGUCUGUAACUGACGCUGAGGCUCGAAAGCGUGGGGAGCGAACAGGAUUAGAUACCCUGGUAGUCCACGCCGUAAACGAUGAGUGCUAGGUGUUAGGCCCUUUCCGGGGCUUAGUGCCGCAGCUAACGCAUUAAGCACUCCGCCUGGGGAGUACGACCGCAAGGUUGAAACUCAAAGGAAUUGACGGGGGCCCGCACAAGCGGUGGAGCAUGUGGUUUAAUUCGAAGCAACGCGAAGAACCUUACCAGGUCUUGACAUCCCGAUGCCCGCUCUAGAGAUAGAGUUUUACUUCGGUACAUCGGUGACAGGUGGUGCAUGGUUGUCGUCAGCUCGUGUCGUGAGAUGUUGGGUUAAGUCCCGCAACGAGCGCAACCCUUAUUGUUAGUUGCCAUCAUUCAGUUGGGCACUCUAGCGAGACUGCCGGUAAUAAACCGGAGGAAGGUGGGGAUGACGUCAAAUCAUCAUGCCCCUUAUGACCUGGGCUACACACGUGCUACAAUGGCUGGUACAACGAGUCGCAAGUCGGUGACGGCAAGCUAAUCUCUUAAAGCCAGUCUCAGUUCGGAUUGUAGGCUGCAACUCGCCUACAUGAAGUCGGAAUCGCUAGUAAUCGCGGAUCAGCACGCCGCGGUGAAUACGUUCCCGGGCCUUGUACACACCGCCCGUCACACCACGAGAGUUUGUAACACCCGAAGUCGGNGAGGUA
rnacentral:rRNA from 1 species